rnacentral:rRNA from 1 species
AUUGAACGCUGGCGGAAUGCUUUACACAUGCAAGUCGAACGGUAGAGGGGGCAACCCCUUGAGAGUGGCGAACGGGUGAGUAAUAUAUCGGAACGUGCCCAGUCGUGGGGGAUAACGUAGCGAAAGUUACGCUAAUACCGCAUACGAUCUAAGGAUGAAAGCGGGGGAUCGCAAGACCUCGCGCGACUGGAGCGGCCGAUAUCAGAUUAGGUAGUUGGUAGGGUAAAGGCCUACCAAGCCAACGAUCUGUAGCUGGUCUGAGAGGACGACCAGCCACACUGGAACUGAGACACGGUCCAGACUCCUACGGGAGGCAGCAGUGGGGAAUUUUGGACAAUGGGCGAAAGCCUGAUCCAGCCAUUCCGCGUGCAGGAUGAAGGCCCUCGGGUUGUAAACUGCUUUUGUACAGAACGAAAAGGUUUCUAUUAAUAAUAGGAGCUCAUGACGGUACUGUAAGAAUAAGCACCGGCUAACUACGUGCCAGCAGCCGCGGUAAUACGUAGGGUGCAAGCGUUAAUCGGAAUUACUGGGCGUAAAGCGUGCGCAGGCGGUUAUAUAAGUCAGAUGUGAAAUCCCCGGGCUCAACCUGGGAACUGCAUUUGAGACUGUAUAGCUAGAGUACGGUAGAGGGGGAUGGAAUUCCGCGUGUAGCAGUGAAAUGCGUAGAUAUGCGGAGGAACACCGAUGGCGAAGGCAAUCCCC